rnacentral:misc_RNA from 1 species
AUUUGCUCAAAACCUAUGCCUUAAUUAACAAUAGUUCCUCGUGCUAUGAUCACAUGGCAUAAUUACCAUAGAAUGGAGUACGAUACCGCAGGCUUCUGUUCGAUUGGUAAUCAAUACAUUUUAAACAUUCUGCCGGAAGAUGAGAAAAAGCAGGAUUGGAAAAUGGGAAAAGCAAACAAACUUGUAAUAGUUCAUUACUGGGACACAAUAUUUUACAUUUCCUAACAUAAAAAUUAGAAUAC